CAGCAAUCUUCGCACGCCGUAAAAAAAUUAGGUAAUUUUUUUCUUUAAUUUUAUUCAGGUGUUAUUUUUCAAUUUUUAUAUAUAUUAGCAAUAUAUUUUUAAGUGAUGAUGCUUCAAAAAUUUAUACGUGAUAAUGCCUGCUCCAAUUGUUUCUGGUCUGUUCUGAGCUUUUGAUUCGUUGAAAUCAUAAACAGAACAUUAUAAAAAUUCUAUGUAGAUAAUCGCAUUUUUUUAAUUUAGGUUCAAUUGUUUUUAAAAAAAUGGUGGGGGUUAAAAUUUGUCUGAUUUUUUAGUAGAAGUUUUUAAUUUGAGAUUGGUUUUUUGUUUUCAUUUCCUUUUCAUUUUGAAUUUAUUUAAAUAACCGAAAAUUCUUAUCUGUACAUGGGGAAAAAAAUAAAUAAAUAAAUGAUUGCUAAUGCUACAUUUGAAGUUUUCCUUUGAAGAUUUACUGUGCUUAAGUACUAGGUAUGAGCUCCUUGCAUUAGUGGAUUUUGUUUGCCUGUUAUUAUGUGCGUAUAAGCAUAUCAUCCCUCAAUUAAAAUGAUGACAUUUUCUUGAUUGGUGCCAAAUUUUGUGAACGAGACUUAGUUGUCUUUUGCUAAUUGUUUAACAGAUCCACCAAGUGCUGCACUAAUGACCCUAAUUUUAUUAUGUGAGUGCUUUACACUCUUAAUAUGACAGAAAAGACAGCAGAAUAAUAUUAAUUUGGUCACUUGUGAGCUGAUGUGAAGUGGGAGACACUUGGUAGGUCCACCCUUGCUGUCCUUAAACCCUACAAUAAAUCUCGAGUCAAAGAACUUUUCCAAGCUAGAAAAUCUUAUUGGCUUGGUCAUUAGGGUAAAUUAGUAUGUCUUAUAGGUGUCUAUCUAGUCUGAGAACCAUCAAAGAUAUUAGAACCACUAGCAUAUCCAUUCGAUUUUGAUUCAUGAAUAUCAACAUUCUGUUUUCAGAUUUGAUACUGACUAUAAAUUUCAUCGUACUUCUUAAUCCUUCUAUUGAUAAUUCACUUAAUUAGUUGCAGCAAGAUCCUCCUGUCAUAUUAUAUAUAUACUGACUAGAACCCUUUUUCAUAUAUAUGAC
rnacentral:lncRNA from 1 species